rnacentral:lncRNA from 1 species
UGGUUCUUCCUUCCGGCACCACCACCCCUUGCCGGAGAAGAGGUGGUGGUCCGGCCGGGGCUGGCGGCCCUGUGGCCGCCUCUGUUGUCGUCCCGGCCAGAUCUGGCGGCCCGGGUUGCCUCCCGAACCCUAAGGUACCCGCGGCCGAGGCCGCGGUGUCCGGUUCGUCAACAGGCCGAGCCCGGUUGGGUUCGGUCCGGAUGGUCGCGGCCUGUGAGUCCGGCCCGACCCAGG